rnacentral:misc_RNA from 1 species
AACAGUAAAUUAAUUUACAAGAAGAGAGUCAACACAAAAGUUUUUUUGGUCUUGUUUUCUUUUGAAAAUGUUUGUUUGUUCUUCUAGAAAACAAUUUUGAUAAGCAAACAAAUGUCUUUGUUCUUUUUAAAAUCCUUUAUUACUGGGCCAGCAUUGCCUUCAGAAGCUUGAGACUUUGCUAACCACACAGUACUGUGGUUUUCG